AAAUCAUGCAUCAGACAUUUUCGCUCUAAAUCUUUAAAUAAUUCUCAUACUUCACAGAAGUUCUCAUCCUCUAUUUUCUUGAAAGAUGUGAUGUCAUUCCUCAAUCU